rnacentral:rRNA from 1 species
AAUCCAUAGGUUAAUGAGGCGAACCGGGGGAACUGAAACAUCUAAGUACCCCGAGGAAAAGAAAUCAACCGAGAUUCCCCCAGUAGCGGCGAGCGAACGGGGAGGAGCCCAGAGCCUGAAUCAGCAUGUGUGUUAGUGGAAGCGUCUGGAAAGGCGCGCGAUACAGGGUGACAGCCCCGUACACAAAAGCGCAUGUGCUGUGAGCUCGAUGAGUAGGGCGGGACACGUGGUAUCCUGUCUGAAUAUGGGGGGACCAUCCUCCAAGGCUAAAUACUCCUGACUGACCGAUAGUGAACCAGUACCGUGAGGGAAAGGCGAAAAGAACCCCGGCGAGGGGAGUGAAAAAGAACCUGAAACCGUGUACGUACAAGCAGUGGGAGCACCCUUCGGGGUGUGACUGCGUACCUUUUGUAUAAUGGGUCAGCGACUUAUAUUCUGUAGCAAGGUUAACCGUAUAGGGGAGCCGGAGGGAAACCGAGUCUUAAUUGGGCGUUAAGUUGCAGGGUAUAGACCCGAAACCCGGUGAUCUAGCCAUGGGCAGGUUGAAGGUUGGGUAACACUAACUGGAGGACCGAACCGACUAAUGUUGAAAAAUUAGCGGAUGACCUGUGGCUGGGGGUGAAAGGCCAAUCAAACCGGGAGAUAGCUGGUUCUCCCCGAAAGCUAUUUAGGUAGCGCCUCGUGAAUUCAUCUCCGGGGGUAGAGCACUGUUUCGGCUAGGGGGCCAUCCCGGCUUACCAACCCGAUGCAAACUGCGAAUACCGGAGAAUGUUAUCACGGGAGACACACGGCGGGUGCUAACGUCCGUCGUGAAGAGGGAAACAACCCAGACCGCCAGCUAAGGUCCCAAAGUCAUGGUUAAGUGGGAAACGAUGUGGGAAGGCCCAGACAGCCAGGAUGUUGGCUUAGAAGCAGCCAUCAUUUAAAGAAAGCGUAAUAGCUCACUGGUCGAGUCGGCCUGCGCGGAAGAUGUAACGGGGCUAAACCAUGCACCGAAGCUGCGGCAGCGAACGUAUCACCCAAGACAACUUUACGGAGUUGACGAUUGACGGAGCGAAGCGACGUCAAAGCGUUCAUUAAAGUCGAGUUGGCUUAGGGAUACGUUCGUUGGGUAGGGGAGCGUUCUGUAAGCCUGUGAAGGUGUGUCGUGAGGCAUGCUGGAGGUAUCAGAAGUGCGAAUGCUGACAUAAGUAACGAUAAAGCGGGUGAAAAGCCCGCUCGCCGGAAGACCAAGGGUUCCUGUCCAACGUUAAUCGGGGCAGGGUGAGUCGACCCCUAAGGCGAGGCCGAAAGGCGUAGUCGAUGGGAAACGGGUUAAUAUUCCCGUACUUGGUGUUACUGCGAAGGGGGGACGGAGAAGGCUAUGUUGGCCGGGCGACGGUUGUCCCGGUUUAAGCGUGUAGGUGUGUGUUCCAGGUAAAUCCGGUUCACUUUAACACUGAGGCGUGACGACGAGGCACUACGGUGCUGAAGCAACAAAUGCCCUGCUUCCAGGAAAAGCCUCUAAGCAUCAGGUAACACGAAAUCGUACCCCAAACCGACACAGGUGGUCAGGUAGAGAAUACCAAGGCGCUUGAGAGAACUCGGGUGAAGGAACUAGGCAAAAUGGUGCCGUAACUUCGGGAGAAGGCACGCUGACACGUAGGUGAAGUGAUUUACUCAUGGAGCUGAAGUCAGUCGAAGAUACCAGCUGGCUGCAACUGUUUAUUAAAAACACAGCACUGUGCAAACACGAAAGUGGACGUAUACGGUGUGACGCCUGCCCGGUGCCGGAAGGUUAAUUGAUGGGGUCAGCG